rnacentral:rRNA from 1 species
AGAACGAACGCUGGCGGCGUGCUUAACACAUGCAAGUCGAACGCGAAAGGGAUCUUCGGAUCCCCGGUAGAGUGGCGCACGGGUGAGUAACGCGUAAAUAAUCUACCCUGGUGUCUGGAAUAAUUAGCCGAAAGGCUGACUAAUACGGGAUACAUGUUUGCCUGUUGGGGCAAACAGGAAAGGUGGCCUCUAUUUAUAAGCUAUCGCACUGGGAUGAGUUUGCGUACCAUUAGCUAGUUGGUGGGGUAAGAGCCCACCAAGGCGACGAUGGUUAGCGGGUCUGAGAGGAUGAUCCGUCACACUGGCACUGGAACACGGGCCAGACUCCUACGGGAGGCAGCAGUGAGGAAUAUUGCGCAAUGGGGGAAACCCUGACGCAGCGACGCCGCGUGAGUGAGGAAGGCCUUCGGGUCGUAAAGCUCUGUCAGCAGGGAAGAAGUGCAACAUGGCUAAUACCUGUGUUGUUUGACGGUACCUGCAAAGGAAGCACCGGCUAACUCCGUGCCAGCAGCCGCGGUAA